rnacentral:rRNA from 1 species
AUUGAACGCUGGCGGUAGGCCUAACACAUGCAAGUCGAACGCGAAAGUCCUUCGGGAUGAGUAGAGUGGCGGACGGGUGAGUAACGCGUAGGAAUCUAUCCUGUAGUGGGGGAUAACAUUUCGAAAGGAACGCUAAUACCGCAUACACCCCAAGGGGGAAAGCGGGGGAUCUUCGGACCUCGUGCUAUAGGAGGAGCCUGCGUCGGAUUAGCUAGUUGGUGAGGUAAAGGCUCACCAAGGCGACGAUCCGUAGCUGGUCUGAGAGGAUGAUCAGCCACACCGGAACUGAGACACGGUCCGGACUCCUACGGGAGGCAGCAGUGGGGAAUAUCGCGCAAUGGGCGAAAGCCUGACGCAGCCAUACCGCGUGUGUGAAGAAGGCCUUCGGGUUGUAAAGCACUUUCAGUGGGGAGGAAAAGCUGGUGGCUAAUAUCCAUCGGCCGUGACGCUACCCACAGAAGAAGCACCGGCUAAUUCCGUGCCAGCCGCCGCGGUAAGAC